ACACCAGCUCUCCGAGUGGUGGGGACAAUUAUUGGGCCUAAAGCAUUCGUAGCCGGCCGGAUAAGUCCUCUGUUAAAGCCAACGAUUUAAUCGUUGGACUGCGGGGGAUACUGUUCGGCUAGGAGACGGGAGAAGCCGACGGUAUUCCCAGGGUAGGGGUGAAAUCCUGUAAUCCUGGGAAGACCACCAGUGGCGAAGGCUGUCGGCUAGAACGCGCUCGACGGUGAGGGAUGAAAGCUAGGGUAGCGAACCGGAUUAGAUACCCGUGUAGUCC
rnacentral:rRNA from 1 species